rnacentral:lncRNA from 1 species
CCAUUAUUUUUCUAUCAAAUAAAUGCUAAAAAUAACAUAAAAAAUAGUUAAAAAUCACACAAAUAAAAGAAAUAGAAACAUGGGGGGUUUGCUGAAAAUUCAAUCACGUGCAUAAUUGACUCACGUUCUUCACGAGUUGAGAACCAAAAGUUCAAAUGCCUUUUGUUUCCCUCCAUCUGAACUCUCCUCCGCCGCACCGGAGGUCGCGUUCGGUGGUGGUGGAGCCCUAAACGUCAAACAAAACAUGCCAAAACCUUCCUUCCAUUGCCCUGAGUCUUAAUCUCAAGUCCAAAUUCCGAAAUUUCCCAACAUUUGCUUAAUUCGAACCAAUCCAUACAUGAACCCUAGCCAACCAAAAUUGAAAUUAAAUCUUUAUCCUCCGAAUCAAAGCCCUAGAGUUUAGGGCUUUGAUUCCCCUCCCCGAAUCCUACAUCCCGGUAGCUAGCACAAAGCAAACGAUGAAGGAAAAACAGAUACUCAUCGGAGAAGAUGCAGCUGACACCGGACUUCAGGUAUUCUCCUCAACCUUUGAAAUCUCCUUCAAUUCUCUUAUUGUUAUUCAAUUUUCCUUUUCUUUUGUUUUUGUGUUGUAACUGAGUCUUGUGCGUGCAUUCUGAGAUGUGAGUGUGUAGUAGAGGAUGCGUGAGAGAGAUAGAGAGCUUGAGAGUGUGUAACAAUCUCUGAGUUUAUGUGAAUUCAAGGUGAAGUGAAGAGUGUUGUGUGAUGUGAAUGAGGGUGAAUCCAGAAUGGUGAGGUUGAAUGAUUUUAUAUAGAUGGAAUGAAUGAACAGAAAAGUUGAACUCUAUUAGUUUGAUUAGUUGGAUUUGAUUCAAGGUUGUUAGCAGUUAACUCACAGUGUUAUUAGUUAGUUAGAGAAAUGAAGUUAGUUAGGAGAUUCGAAAUUAGAUUUUCAGUUAGAAGUUAAAUGGAAGUCAAGUGAAAUGAAACUUGGUUAGGAAAUGAGUGUGAAAUGUGAAACUUGAUUUAGUUAGAUGCAGUUAAAUGCUAACUUCAGUUAGUGGUGAAAUUCCAUUUCCCGUUGGUUACAAGUUGAGCUCUAUUAUACUCAUUUUUCUGUUAGAUGGAAAGUUCAGUUAGUUAUGGUGAGUUGAUGGUGAUGGUGUAUGCUUGUUAAUGUUUUAUGCAUGUGAUGCUAAUGUUGUUGAUUUGUUUAUGUGUAGCUAUUUGUUAAUCAAUUUCAGUUGUAGCUAAAAUGUCAAAUUCAGUCAGUGAUGAAUGUAUCAUUAAUAUUCUGUUAUGGUGUUACAUGGGCUGCUAUGCAUGUGUUAUAUGGACUUAUAGGAUAGUGUGAAUUUAUUAGCUGCUAGUUUCCUUGCUUGGGAUGUUAGGUUGAUGUUGGCUAGGUCUAGGAAGGUUUUAUAAUGUUGUUGUUAUGAUAAUACAUGAUGCAUUGCUUGGUUGGUUUUGUAGGUUGCAUUGUUGAUGCUUUGAUGAACUGUUGUAACGCAUGCCAAAUUUGUUUUUCUGCUAAUGCAUUAUAUGCUUGUGAUGUAUGUAUGAUUUUUCCCUGUUUGUAAUGUAGCUGCUAAUUAUUUUGAUGUUCUGAAAUGCUUGACAUGCUAUGUAGUUAUUGUGAAUGUCAUGGAUGAUUGGCUUGAAUGGAUGGUUGUUUGGUACAUGAUGUUUGACCUGCUUUUGACUAUCAUGCAUGGUUGGAUAAUGUAUGUAUGUUUGAAUGCUUGGUUGUUGGCUUGUGGAACAUGACCUCAAGACAAGGCAAAACAAGGCUUGGCACUUGAACAUUCAAGGCAUGACAAAAACCAAACUUGAUGCAAAAAAGGGGUUUUCUUGGUCAUGAAGAAAGUUAAUGAUGGAAUCACAUGGAAAGGUGCAAGAAUGGAUAUACAUUAAGCAUUAGGGUUUAGGUCAUGUAAAAAUAGGUUAGUUGACUUUGAUCAACUAGUUGACCAAAAAGUCAACAGUUGACCAAAAAGUCAACAGUUGAUCAAAAAAAGUAAACUUUUGUAAAUAUUUUAUUUUAUUUUGUACGGACAAUGUAAAAUGAUAAUGUAUGAAUGAAUGGACACCCUUUUGAAUGAAAGUGGUAUUUAUGAUUGAAUGAAACCAUGUUUUAUUUUAAA